UGGCGACGAUAUGGGUUGGUGCACGUGCGGUCUAUGCGUGGCCAGUGCAAAUCCGGAGGAGAAUGUGUGCUGCAUGGAGCUUGAGGAAGUUUUUGCGAAAGGCAACGAGGACUACAUCACACGGCAUGCGUAUUUCCCGAGCAUUUGUCUUAAUCCUGGAGUCCUCGAGGCAGCUUACUACGCUUUUCAAGAGCUCGGUGUGCAAAUCGAAGGAGAAUUGCAUAAGAAGUACCGCUUCGUGGCCUACCGCCUGUUUACGAAGUGGAUCUGGAGGCGUCUUGGCAGGGGAAACAGAGUCGUGCUGCCUGCUUGUGUUGUCGCGCGCAUUCGACAAGAAUUUCCGUCUGCGGUAUACGUGGGAUUCCAGCACCCACGACUGGAAGUUUGAAGGUCCUGAAUAUGCAAUGGACUUCGGGGCAAACCGGAUCAACAGGCUGUUGAAGGACUCUAAGGAAAAUGUCUGAACCAUAGGAGACAAUUGCCGGAGGUCACUCAGAAGGCGAGGAUGCUCCAAAAUUGCUUUCACUUUGGUGAAGGCUGGAGAUCCUGUCAAGAAAAAUAAAGAU
rnacentral:lncRNA from 1 species